GGAGAUUAUCCACAAGGCACCUCUGUCCUUCUUCCCCCUCCCCUCUCGGCGGACGGGGUUCGAAAGAGGUAUUAAAACACAGUUGAUGCUGAUGCAGUUCCUCAGUGUCAGAAGCUAAGGUGAGAGGCCAGCUGCUUCUGAGGACAUUGUCUGCUGCUAUCAAGAUAUUCAGCUUAGCAGUUUCAAGGGCAUCUCAUGGUUCAUUGUCCCACAUGCUUCAGGUGUGUAUGCAUGUCUUCCAGCCACUUUAUCCUCUGCUGAGCCAGAUUUUACUAGACGGCGCUGAUACAAACCUGGUUUUGGCUGCAUGGUAGAUGUGUAAGAAUAAACAUAGAUAUACAUGGCUGUGAUAAUUAUCCCUGGUUGUGUGAAUAUACAGCAACCAUGUAUUUUGUGAUUGUGUCAGAUGAAAGUGACAUGAACCAAUUAUGAAAGUAUAGCUGUACUAUGUAGAGGAGGCCUGAUAUGUCAUUGGAUUGUAUGUUUGUAAACAAUUGCAAGAACAAUGUCAUUCUUUGUACAUGUCAGUUUCUUUGCUGUCUGGAACAUUGUAGAGACUUAGAAUAUAAUAAGUCUUAAAUGUACAAUAAAAUGUUGCAGGUAGCCUAUAAAGAAAUAUCUUCAUGAGAAUUCUGUUUGCUGUGCAA